rnacentral:rRNA from 1 species
AUACGAAAGGUGCAAGCGUUGUUCGGAUUUACUGGGCGUAAAGAGAGUGUAGGUGGUUUAUUAUGUCGGAUGUGAAAUCCCGGGGCUCAACCUCGGAACUGCAUUCGAUACUGAUAGGCUAGAGUUUGGGAGGGGUAAGCGGAAUUCCGUGUGUAGCAGUGAAAUGCGUAGAUAUACGGAGGAACACCUGAGGCGAAGGCGGCUUACUGGACCAAUACUGACACUGAGACUCGAAAGCGUGGGUAGCAAACAGGAUUAGAAACCCUAGUAGUCC